GAGGCCAAAGUUUAGCGCACGGCUCUUGCCAAAGAGCCAUUUCCCUGGACCGAAGACAGGAAUCGUCUUCGGUCUUUUUUU
rnacentral:sRNA from 1 species